rnacentral:rRNA from 1 species
GAUGAACGCUGGCGGCGUGCCUAAUACAUGCAAGUCGAGCGAACGGACGAGAAGCUUGCUUCUCUGAUGUUAGCGGCGGACGGGUGAGUAACACGUGGAUAACCUACCUAUAAGACUGGGAUAACUUCGGGAAACCGGAGCUAAUACCAGAUAAUAUUUUGAACCGCAUGGUUCAAAAGUGAAAGACGGUCUUGCUGUCACUUAUAGAUGGAUCCGCGCUGCAUUAGCUAGUUGGUAAGGUAACGGCUUACCAAGGCAACGAUGCAUAGCCGACCUGAGAGGGUGAUCGGCCACACUGGAACUGAGACACGGUCCAGGCUCCUACGGGAGGCAGCAGUAGGGAAUCUUCCGCAAUGGGCGAAAGCCUGACGGAGCAACGCCGCGUGAGUGAUGAAGGUCUUCGGAUCGUAAAACUCUGUUAUUAGGGAAGAACAUAUGUGUAAGUAACUGUGCACAUCUUGACGGUACCUAAUCAGAAAGCCACGGCUAACUACGUG